GGGCGGGGCCCACGCGUUGCCCGCGGCCUCAGGGCCACAAGAGCGAUUCUUCCUGCAGGUGGCCCCUGGGAUCUGGGCCCGCCCACUUUCCCGUUCGCCCGGCCCAGCUCCAGCCCCGCCCACCUAGCUCUCCUCCAGUGACACCCUUCCCCUCUGGGCAAGACCCAGUUACUUGGAUGGAUCUUGACCUCCUAGACAUCUGGGCGGCUUCAUGAGAGAAAGAGAGCUGAGGGACAACACAUAUUCCUGGACCUGGAGGCCUGACACAAAUGAGACAAACACUAAGGACUGAAAAUGUUUGAGACCCUUGAGCCAGGGACUGAGCAGGAUAUAGUCAGUUAAUCAUUCAUUCAACAAACUGUAACCUUG
rnacentral:lncRNA from 1 species